UGACACGUGUGUAAUUGUUUAUGAAAUAGAUAAGCCAGCUUCAAGCAGAACAACUGUAAAAGGAGCUAACCUUGGUGGGGUCUACUCAGUGGCAUUUGUUGAUGAAAAAACUGUCAUAAGUUCUGGUGAAGACGCGUGUAUUCGUUUAUGGGAGAUAACUCCACAAUAAAUAAACAAUCAAAAACUUACAAACAAACGUUUCUUCAUGUCUUUUUCUUCUACUUUUUGUGAAGCUGGUUUUGCAAGUAGGCCAAGGUUUUUAGUGGAGGACUUAUUGGAUUAAAAGUAAGGUUUUGGUGGACAAAUUC
rnacentral:lncRNA from 1 species